GCCUGGGUGGCUCAGUCGGUUGAGCGUCCGACUUUGGCUCAGGUCAUGAUCUCGCAGUUGGUGGGUUCGAGCCCCACGUCGGGCU
rnacentral:tRNA from 1 species